rnacentral:snoRNA from 1 species
CAGAAAUGAUGAAAUUCCACUUCUAUGGUCCGUGUUUCUGAGCCAGAUGAUCUCAGUGGAAGUUCUGAUGGU